CACGGCGCACGGGUGCGUAACACGUGGGCAAUCUGCUCUUCGAUGGGGAAUAACUUCGGGAAACCGAAGCUAAUUCCGCAUAACAUUCCUUGAACUUCGGUUUGGGGAUUCAAAGGCGUAAGUCGUCGGAGGAGGAGCCCGCGCACGAUUAGCUAGUUGGUAGGGUAACGGCCUACCAAGGCUUUGAUCGUUAGCUGGUCUGAGAGGAUGGCCAGCCACACUGGAACUGAGACACGGUCCAGACUCCUACGGGAGGCAGCAGUGGGGAAUCUUGCACAAUGGGCGAAAGCCUGAUGCAGCGACGCCGCGUGGGGGAUGAAGCUUUUCGGAGUGUAAACCCCUUUCGACCCGGACGAAACCCCGCAAGGGUUUGACGGUACGGGUAUAAGAAGCCCCGGCUAACUACGUGCCAGCAGCCGCGGUAAGACGUGGGGGGCCAGCGUUGCUCGGAAUUACUGGGUGUAAAGGGUUCGUAGGCGGUGUGGCAAGUCGGGAGUGAAAUCUCUGGGCUCAACUCAGAGACUGCUUCCGA
rnacentral:rRNA from 1 species